AUUUACGAAGCUUGGCAAGCGGAAAAGACUGGUUGGAUGCAAAACCAAAUGUGGGGUGCACUUGAGAAAAUCGUUACAUAAGAACUAUUCCAAUUUCAUGAAAAGUGGACUGCCACAGCGGUUACUGUUUUAUCAGAAUGGUGACUGGAAUGAUUUUCCUCGUGAUAUUGUUGAGUUGGUUAGCAAAGAUUUUCAAUUGAAAAAAGCAGCAAUUGAAGUGCAGUUCAAGGGCUGCCAUUUAAUGUUUGAUAUCUUGUACAUGAUUCAAGUAGAUUUGAAGACAGGUUCCCAGAAACCUAUAGCUUGGAUUGAUGAAUCAGGUAGCUGCUUUUUUCCUCAAUUAUACUCUACUGAUGGUGGAAUACAUGAAUGCAAUCAAUCUGAGUUAGAAAAAGAUGAAUUUCGGUAUGCGGAACGAAAUGGGGCCCCUGAAAUCAAGUUGCAUCUUCAAAUAGAAGUAAACAGAGUUAAUGGCUUCAAUUUGGAGGAAUGUGUGAAAGAGUCAAAUAUUUGUGCUAAGCGAAUUAAAAUUGAACAAAAAUCUAACAGAAAUAAUGAUGAGCUAGGCAUUGAUGACAAUUAUAAUGAAAAAUCUGUUUCAAAAAUGGACAAGGUUGUUGAGGAAGUUCAACAGAGUGACAAAAAUUUAUCCUCUAAGUUUGAAUAUGUUUGUGAAACUGUAGAUUUAGAUAUUGUGAAAAACAUGUUCGUUGUGGGCAUGAACCUGUCCUUGAAUGCAAACGUACUUGAAAUUACUCUGGUAAUGUGAUGCAAACUCGCUGGGAAAUUUUUCAGAAGCAGAUUGAGAUAACUCAAAGGUAUCGUGGGGAUCCAAAUGUUCGGUAUGCUUUGCUCGCUUCUGCAAAAGAUGCACUGCCUAGUAUCAUGACCUAUGGGCUUGCGCAUUGUGGACUCAAAACUAAGGCCACAUAUGGGUUUUGGAGUUCACCUUGCAGCUGUGAAGUGUGCCCUCACCAGUGCAAGUUAUUGUGAUGUUGAUGAGAAUGGAAUACAACACAUGUUGUUUUGCCGUGUCAUACUGGGAAAUAUGGAACUUGUUCAUCCUGGAUCUAGACAAUUUCAUCCCAGUAGUGAAAAUUUUGAUAGCGGAGUUGAUGAUCUGCAAAAUCCGAGUCAUUAUAUUGUUUGGAACAUGAAUAUGAUCACACACAUCUAUCUAGAAUAUGUUGUCAGUUUCAAGAUGUCCCACAGUGCUGAAGAAGCUCUGGUCGGGAAAGGAAGUUGAUUUGAUGUAUCCGGUGUUACUACUUGUCAGGACCAUCAUGGUCAAUUGCAGCUAGAUUCAUCUUCAGCUGAAACGGAGAGAAAUUGCCAUCCGUGUUGAGAUUUUGUGGACAAAUCUCAGGGAAAUACCCCCAGCAUCGGUUCAAGCACCUCCAAGACUCCUAAAUCCCCUUGGAUGCCUUUUGCUAUUUUGUUUGAUGCCAUCUCCAAUAAAAUAGAUCCUAAAGAUACGAAAUUGUUGAAUAUUCAUUAUGGCCUAUUCAGGAGCAAGAAAAUCAAUCGGGAUGAUUUUAUUAAAACGUUGAGAUUGAUAGUUGGGGAUCAAUUGUUGAGGUCUAUGAUAACUGGUCUUCAUUGCAAGGUUACCAUCCAAUUUUAUAUGCCCGCCAAAAGUGCCGAAGGAGGAACAAGAAUGUUGAGGCAGCAGUGGUACACUGUUUCUCUUAUAUGGUAACAUAAAAAUGAUCAAAUUUGUUUUUGCUGCUGCUCGUGGGAAUUUGUCGUCAUAGAGUUGUGAACAAUGUAGUUUAGGUAUAUGAAAUUUGCAUUUAAUUUCAUUUUUUUUGGUCGGUCUUAUUAUGUCACUAUUCAACUUGUUGAACUAAUACUUUUUUCAAUGAAGGUAUGCUGUUUAAUGGUUGGUCUCAA